UGUCUUUUAUUAUUAUUAUUAUUAUUAUUAUUAUUAUUAUUAAUAAUAAUAAUACCACCAUUACUAUUAAUUAAUCUGUUGGUUUGCAUAGUUGCGUGGGCACCUCCCAGAAUUGUGGGGUCUUGUUCUGCCCUUAUCUUUCCACCACAGUUGACAAAAAAAAGGUUGUACCGGUUUAGUUUUGCUUUACUGGGAUGAACUGGCAUUUGGUGGGGCUUACUGGUGCGGAGUUUGGUGUGUCUUUGUUCCAAGCCUUUAUUUCCCCGCAGUGAAAAUAUCUGUGUCCCCUUGUACAUGCAUUUAUUUAUUUCAUACGUGCGACGAAAGCGAACUGAAGCUAACUCACAAGUGGAACAAAGUUCAGAAAACAAGGACUAAAGUUUGUAUUGUUUUUUUUGUAUUGAAACUCGUGCUGUACAUUUCUGUGUUGGUUUUUGCUACUAUAUAAAGAUGCCUGGCGUAUUAACUCUGUUCCAAAGAGGCUGCUAAGGUUACCAGAGUGUAUUAUAUAAACAGGGCCCUUGUGUAUCACUGUACUAUCGCUGUGGCAAUCCUCUGCUUGCUUUAGCUUUUUGGAAAAUGAAACACAGUAGCUUUAUCCAGCUCACUGACUUUAAUCCAGAGAAGCUGGUACUGUGGCUCCUUUAACUGUAAUUAAAACUGGGGAGUGACAAUGCCAGCAACAGCUAAACUUGACUUCUCAUGACGUCUCAGAACAUUAUUAUAAAGCUGCUACUGCUUUCAGCUCUAGUUUGGAUGCAGCGUUUCUGAGCACUGUGAAAGAAGUGACUGUGUGAUUUGAGAUACUGGCUGCAUUAGUGCAACCUUCAAAAAGCUCAAUCUGAAUUCUGCAUUAGAUAAUUGUAUAAUGCUAGCAUUGUGUAGUGUUUGUAUGUGUGUACGAGAGAGAGAGAGAGAGAGAGAGAGAGAGAGAGAGAGAGAGAGAGAGAGAGACGUUCAUUUUAAGUUGAGAGGUAAUCUUGUUAGGGAAUUGGAAAUAAGAAAGGGGAUUUAUAGCCUGUCUCAAUUUGAUUUCAGAACAGGUCUUGCUUUCCCCUGCAAGCACCACAGCAUUGCUCCAGUCCUCCACGUCACGCUCUGUACGAUACAGAUGUAAUCUUGAGCAGAUCUGAGAGCUCAGAGGAAUGAAACAAGACACUUGAAUGCGCGUGAUGUUUUAACCGAUUAGAAACCAGGGAGAGCGGUCUAGGAAGUGCGAAUGAUCCUCGCAGAGUUCUGGGUAUUUAAUUUUGCAGUUGGGUGCUGUCCUACAUAACAAGUUUACUGCUCUGUGUUUACAUUUCUUUCCACACAGCUGAAGAAGGGUAUGGUAAAGCAUAUUAAAAAAAACUGUAUCCCACAGUAAAAGCACAGUGACAGCAUGGUAAAGCAUAGGGAAGCAUUGUAAAGCAGAGAGGUCUGGUAAAGCAUAGGGAAGCAUUGUAAAGCACAGAGAGGUCUGGUAAAGCAUAGGGAAGCAUUGUAAAGCAGAGAGGUCUGGUAAAGCAUAGGGAAGCAUUGUAAAGCACAGAGAGGUCUGGUAAAGCAUAGGGAAGCAUUGUAAAGCAGAGAGGUCUGGUAAAGCAUAGGGAAGCAUUGUAAAGCACAGAGAGGUCUGGUAAAGCAUAGGGAAGCAUUGUAAAGCACAGAGAGGGAUGGUAAAGCAUACAGAUGCAUUGUAAAGCACAGAGAGGUAUGUUAAAGCAUAGGGAAGCAUUGUAAAGCACAGAGAGGUCUGGUAAAGCAUAGGGAAGCAUUGUAGUAAAUCACAGCUAAAGUGUACUGCCGCCCAGCCCCCAGCAUCAAAGAGACGAAGCCAGACCUGCUUUCAAUUUACUUCUUGGCCAGAAUUUCACUUUCGGAUCUCCGGAAAAAAAAAAAAAAAAAAAGGAGAGAGCACAA